GACGAACGCUGGCGGCGUGCCUAAUACAUGCAAGUCGAGCGGACUGACUGGGAGCUUGCUCUUGUUCGGUCAGCGGCGGACGGGUGAGUAACACGUGGGCAACCUGCCCGCAAGACCGGGAUAACUCCGGGAAACCGGAGCUAAUACCGGAUAACACCGAAGACCGCAUGGUCUUUGGUUGAAAGGCGGCGCAAGCUGCCACUUGUGGAUGGGCCCGCGGCGCAUUAGCUAGUUGGUGAGGUAACGGCUCACCAAGGCGACGAUGCGUAGCCGGCCUGAGAGGGUGACCGGCCACACUGGGACUGAGACACGGCCCAGACUCCUACGGGAGGCAGCAGUAGGGAAUCUUCCGCAAUGGGCGAAAGCCUGACGGAGCGACGCCGCGUGAGCGAAGAAGGCCUUCGGGUCGUAAAGCUCUGUUGUGAGGGACGAAGGAGCGCCGUUUGAAGAAGGCGGCGCGGUGACGGUACCUCACGAGGAAGCCCCGGCUAACUACGUG
rnacentral:rRNA from 1 species